UGCCGGUUCUCGUUAGAUCACCGAAGUCAAGCAUCAUUGGGCGCGGUCAGUACUUGGGUGUAUGACCACCUAGGAACACCGCGUGCCGUU